CUACGUGCCAGCAGCCGCGGUAAUACGGAGGGUGCGAGCGUUAAUCGGAAUAACUGGGCGUAAAGGGCACGCAGGCGGUGACUUAAGUGAGGUGUGAAAGCCCCGGGCUUAACCUGGGAAUUGCAUUUCAUACUGGGUCGCUAGAGUACUUUAGGGAGGGGUAGAAUUCCACGUGUAGCGGUGAAAUGCGUAGAGAUGUGGAGGAAUACCGAAGGCGAAGGCAGCCCCUUGGGAAUGUACUGACGCUCAUGUGCGAAAGCGUGGGGAGCAAACAGGAUUAGAUACCCUGGUAGUCCACGCUGUAAACGAUGUCGAUUUGGGGGUUGAACUUUGAGUUUGGCGCCCGUAGCUAACGUGAUAAAUCGACCGCCUGGGGAGUACGGCCGCAAGGUUAAAACUCAAAUGAAUUGACGGGGGCCCGCACAAGCGGUGGAGCAUGUGGUUUAAUUCGACGCAACGCGAAGAACCUUACCAGGUCUUGACAUUGAUGGACAGAACUAGAGAUAG
rnacentral:rRNA from 1 species